UACGUAGGGUGCAAGCGUUGUUCGGAAUCACUGGGCGUAAAGCGCACGUAGGCGGACGUGUCAGUCAGGGGUGAAAUCCCGGAGCUCAACUUCGGAACUGCCUUUGAUACAGCACGUCUUGAGUCCGGAAGAGGUGGGUGGAAUUCCUAGUGUAGAGGUGAAAUUCGUAGAUAUUAGGAAGAACACCGGUGGCGAAGGCGGCCCACUGGUCCGGUACUGACGCUGAGGUGCGAAAGCGUGGGGAGCAAACAGG
rnacentral:rRNA from 1 species